CAGACUGUACCACAAGGGGGCAGACAGUGUUUGGGUUUCUAUGUUCCAAACAAAGAUUCUCUCUCAGCGCCUUCGGAGAUCCUCCUUUAAGAUGCUUCCUGACCCGCUGAGUUCCUCCAGCAUUUUAUUUGUUGCUACAAUCAAUCAUUGGCCUGCUAUCAAACACUUAAUGGCAUUUUAAGCUUAAUGUCUCUGCGAUACAGCCUUUGGCCUCCUGAGCUAGUGGAUUGGACUGAUCCAGCAGGUGGUAGUGAACAUGAUUCUAGGAUUGGAUCAGGUAUCGAA